GUCUGUCCUCCAAGCUAUACGUGUUCACCUUUCCGUAUAAGUUUUCUCCUGUAAUCCAUGAACCAGUUUAGUAGCCCUUCUCUGAACUCUCUCUAAAGUAUCAAUAUCCUUCUGGAGAUACGGUUUCCAGUACUGCGAUACUCCAAGUGAGGUCUCACUAGUAGGGAUCGACCAAUAUUGAUUUUUUAGAGCCGAUACCGAUACCAUUAAUCUGUGAACAUUCAGGCUGAUAGCCAAUAACUUACCGAUAUUCUGUACAUUUACCAUUUUGAGAAAAAUAAACUAUUUCUAAAGGUAAAUGCACAAAAUAUACAUGCCACGUGUAGUGGAUGCAGUGUGUUUAGACAGGGGAGCUGUGUAUUUUUGUAUAGUGUGUAUAUAAUGAAUGCAGAGUGUGUUUGUGUCGUGUGUAUAUAAUGAAUGCAGGGAGUGUUUGUGUAGUGUGUGUAUAUAAUUAAUGCAGGGAGUGUUUGUGUAGUGUGUGUAUAUAAUGAAUGCAGGGAGUGUUUGUGUAGUGUGUAUAUAUAGUGAAUGCAGA